UGGCUCUCGCAUCGAUGAAGAACGCAGCGAAAUGCGAUAAGUAUUGUGAAUUGCAGAAUUCAGUGAAUCAUCGAAUUUUUGAACGCAUCUUGCACCCUGGGGUAUUCCCUAGGGUAUGUCUGUCUGAGUGUUAUUUGAACUCUCAAAGCUCGCUUCCUUUCACGAGGUUGAGGCGCUUUGGAUCAUGAGUGCUUGCGAGCCUCGGCUUGCUCACUUUAAAUAUAAUGUGGCGUUCCUCUCUGAAGCUACUUUUAGGUUUGACCUGGAGUGAUAGAAGUCUUUCGAGAUCUCUAGGGAAUCAUCUCUCGAUGAUGCCUACUGUGGUGGGAGGGAAUGUCUGUUAGACUCAAUUGACGAUUUUGACCUCAGAUCAGGCAGGACUACCCGCUGA
rnacentral:misc_RNA from 1 species